rnacentral:lncRNA from 1 species
UGUGUGUUCUUCAGGGUUACAGUGAGCUCUGGGGAAGGACAGCAGUGUGUGAGACAAUGUGAUGCUCACUGGAAGAGACAGCGAUUGAAACCCUGCGUGUUUAAACACGUCUCUCUCCAGCUCAGCAUUGUCUCAGAAUGGCUCAGUACAACACAGAGGCUACAACUAGAUUUCUACAUGAACUCUGUAAGAAAACCUUGAGAA